CCCAGUGAACAAUUAAACGGCCGCGGUACCCUAACCGUGCAAAGGUAGCAUAAUCAUUUGUCUACUAAUUAUAGACCUGCAUGAAAGGCAAAAUGAGGGUCUAACUGUCUCUUAUAAUGAAUCAAUUAAACUGAUCUCCUAGUAAAAAAGCUAGAAUCUCCACAUAAGACCAGAAGACCCUGUGAAGCUUAAACUAAACUAUUAAACCAUAUAAUAACCACUUUCGGUUGGGGCGACCUUGGAAAAAAAAAGAACUUCCAAAAACUAUGACUAUCCAUACUACCCAGGCCAACAAGCCAAUAAACGACCCAGCACAGCUGAUCACCGAACCAAGUUACUCCAGGGAUAACAGCGCAAUCCUCUUCAAGAGCCCAUAUCAAAAAGAGGGUUUACGACCUCGAUGUUGGAUCAGGACAUCCUAA
rnacentral:rRNA from 1 species